AGGACAGAAGAACAUCAACUUUA
rnacentral:piRNA from 1 species